GUCCCGGUAGCUCAGUGGUAGAGCGUUCGGCUGUUAACCGAAAGGUCGCAGGUUCGAAUCCUGCCCGGGACG
rnacentral:tRNA from 1 species